rnacentral:rRNA from 1 species
UAAGACGAACCGUGCGAACGUUGUUCGGAAUCACUGGGCUUAAAGGGCGCGUAGGCGGGCCUUCAAGUCCGGGGUGAAAUCCUCCAGCCUAACUGGAGAAGAGCCUCGGAGACUGAGGGCCUCGAGGAGGGUAGGGGCGUGCGGAACUCUGGGUGGAGCGGUGAAAUGCAUUGAUAUCCAGAGGAACUCCGGUGGCGAAGGCGGCACGCUGGACCCUUUCUGACGCUGAGGCGCGAAAGCCAGGGGAGCAAACGGGAUUAGAUACCCCGGUAGUCCUGGCCCUAAACGUUGGGAACUAGGUAGUAGACCAGACAUGGGUUUACUGCCGGAGCAAAAGUGCUAAGUUCCCCGCCUGGGGAGUAUGGUCGCAAGGCUG